rnacentral:rRNA from 1 species
UACAGAGGGUGCAAGCGUUGUUCGGAAUUAUUGGGCGUAAAGGGCGCGUAGGCGGUGCGGUAAGUCUGCGGUGAAAUCUCCCGGCUCAACUGGGAGUCUGCCGUGGAAACUGUCGUGCUAGAGUGCGGAAGGGGCUACUGGAAUUCUCGGUGUAGCGGUGAAAUGCGUAGAUAUCGAGAGGAACACCUGCGGCGAAGGCGGGUAGCUGGGCCGAACACUGACGCUGAUGCGCGAAAGCCAGGGGAGCGAACGGG